rnacentral:rRNA from 1 species
ACGGGAGGCAGCAGUGAGGAAUAUUGGUCAAUGGUCGGAAGACUGAACCAGCCAAGUCGCGUGCAGGAAGACGGUCCUCUGGAUUGUAAACUGCUUUUGUACGGGAAUAAAGUGGGGGACGUGUCCCCUUUGGAAUGUACCGUAAGAAUAAGGGUCGGCUAACUCCGUGCCAGCAGCCGCGGUAAUACGGAGGACCCGAGAGUUGUCCGGAUUUAUUGGGUUUAAAGGGUGCGCAGGCGGAGGAUUAAGUCAGCGGUGAAAUUUUCAUGCUCAACAUGAAAACUGCCAUUGAUACUGGUCCCCUUGAGAGAUGUCGAGGAUGGCGGAAUGUGAUGUGUAGCGGUGAAAUGCUUAGAUAUGUCACAGAACACCGAUUGCGUAGGCAGCUGUCCAGAGAUCUUCUGACGCUCAGGCACGAACGCAUGGGUAUCAAACAGGAUUAGAUACCCUGGUA